rnacentral:rRNA from 1 species
AGUGUGUGUGUUAGUGGAAGCGUCUGGAAAGGCGCGCGAUACAGGGUGACAGCCCCGUACACAAAAAUACACAUACUGUGAGCUCGAUGAGUAGGGCGGGACACGUGGUAUCCUGUCUGAAUAUGGGGGGACCAUCCUCCAAGGCUAAAUACUCCUGACUGACCGAUAGUGAACCAGUACCGUGAGGGAAAGGCGAAAAGAACCCCGGCGAGGGGAGUGAAAAAGAACCUGAAACCGUGUACGUACAAGCAGUGGGAGCACGCUUAGGCGUGUGACUGCGUACCUUUUGUAUAAUGGGUCAGCGACUUAUAUUCUGUAGCAAGGUUAACCGAAUAGGGGAGCCGAAGGGAAACCGAGUCUUAACUGGGCGUUAAGUUGCAGGGUAUAGACCCGAAACCCGGUGAUCUAGCCAUGGGCAGGUUGAAGGUUGGGUAACACUAACUGGAGGACCGAACCGACUAAUGUUGAAAAAUUAGCGGAUGACUUGUGGCUGGGGGUGAAAGGCCAAUCAAACCGGGAGAUAGCUGGUUCUCCCCGAAAGCUAUUUAGGUAGCGCCUCGUGAAUUCAUCUCCGGGGGUAGAGCACUGUUUCGGCAAGGGGGUCAUCCCGACUUACCAACCCGAUGCAAACUGCGAAUACCGGAGAAUGUUAUCACGGGAGACACACGGCGGGUGCUAACGUCCGUCGUGAAGAGGGAAACAACCCAGACCGCCAGCUAAGGUCCCAAAGUCAUGGUUAAGUGGGAAACGAUGUGGGAAGGCCCAGACAGCCAGGAUGUUGGCUUAGAAGCAGCCAUCAUUUAAAGAAAGCGUAAUAGCUCACUGGUCGAGUCGGCCUGCGCGGAAGAUGUAACGGGGCUAAACCAUGCACCGAAGCUGCGGCAGCGACGCUUAUGCGUUGUUGGGUAGGGGAGCGUUCUGUAAGCCUGCGAAGGUGUGCUGUGAGGCAUGCUGGAGGUAUCAGAAGUGCGAAUGCUGACAUAAGUAACGAUAAAGCGGGUGAAAAGCCCGCUCGCCGGAAGACCAAGGGUUCCUGUCCAACGUUAAUCGGGGCAGGGUGAGUCGACCCCUAAGGCGAGGCCGAAAGGCGUAGUCGAUGGGAAACAGGUUAAUAUUCCUGUACUUGGUGUUACUGCGAAGGGGGGACGGAGAAGGCUAUGUUGGCCGGGCGACGGUUGUCCCGGUUUAAGCGUGUAGGCUGGUUUUCCAGGCAAAUCCGGAAAAUCAAGGCUGAGGCGUGAUGACGAGGCACUACGGUGCUGAAGCAACAAAUGCCAUGCUUCCAGGAAAAGCCUCUAAGCAUCAGGUAACAUCAAAUCGUACCCCAAACCGACACAGGUGGUCAGGUAGAGAAUACCAAGGCGCUUGAGAGAACUCGGGUGAAGGAACUAGGCAAAAUGGUGCCGUAACUUCGGGAGAAGGCACGCUGAUAUGUAGGUGAAGCGACUUGCUCGUGGAGCUGAAAUCAGUCGAAGAUACCAGCUGGCUGCAACUGUUUAUUAAAAACACAGCACUGUGCAAACACGAAAGUGGACGUAUACGGUGUGACGCCUGCCCGGUGCCGGAAGGUUAAUUGAUGGGGUCAGCGCAAGCGAAGCUCUUGAUCGAAGCCCCGGUAAACGGCGGCCGUAACUAUAACGGUCCUAAGGUAGCGAAAUUCCUUGUCGGGUAAGUUCCGACCUGCACGAAUGGCGUAAUGAUGGCCAGGCUGUCUCCACCCGAGACUCAGUGAAAUUGAACUCGCUGUGAAGAUGCAGUGUACCCGCGGCAAGACGGAAAGACCCCGUGAACCUUUACUAUAGCUUGACACUGAACAUUGAGCCUUGAUGUGUAGGAUAGGUGGGAGGCUUUGAAGUGUGGACGCCAGUCUGCAUGGAGCCGACCUUGAAAUACCACCCUUUAAUGUUUGAUGUUCUAACGUUGACCCGUAAUCCGGGUUGCGGACAGUGUCUGGUGGGUAGUUUGACUGGGGCGGUCUCCUCCUAAAGAGUAACGGAGGAGCACGAAGGUUGGCUAAUCCUGGUCGGACAUCAGGAGGUUAGUGCAAUGGCAUAAGCCAGCUUGACUGCGAGCGUGACGGCGCGAGCAGGUGCGAAAGCAGGUCAUAGUGAUCCGGUGGUUCUGAAUGGAAGGGCCAUCGCUCAACGGAUAAAAGGUACUCCGGGGAUAACAGGCUGAUACCGCCCAAGAGUUCAUAUCGACGGCGGUGUUUGGCACCUCGAUGUCGGCUCAUCACAUCCUGGGGCUGAAGUAGGUCCCAAGGGUAUGGCUGUUCGCCAUUUAAAGUGGUACGCGAGCUGGGUUUAGAACGUCGUGAGACAGUUCGGUCCCUAUCUGCCGUGGGCGCUGGAGAACUGAGGGGGGCUGCUCCUAGUACGAGAGGACCGGAGUGGACGCAUCACUGGUGUUCGGGUUGUCAUGCCAAUGGCACUGCCCGGUAGCUAAAUGCGGAAGAGAUAAGUGCUGAAAGCAUCUAAGCACGAAACUUGCCCCGAGAUGAGUUCUCCCUGACUCCUUGAGAGUCCUGAAGGAACGUUGAAGACGACGACGUUGAU